AUGGAGAUCUCCCUGGACGCGCUGUUGGGCGUGCAGCGGCACGGACAGGACCUGGCCUACCGCCUCGUGCAUGGCGUCUCGGGGCUGCUGCUCCAACUCCACGUGCAGACGCCGCCGCUCAAGCUCCUCCCCUUCGACAUCGAGCUCCCCGCUGCCCCCUUCGCAGUCAGCGUCGACCUCCCGGCCGUGGCCGUCGUGUCCUUCGUGGAGAUCGGCGGCCUGCUCGGGCAGGCCGGGCCCGACCUCGGCGGCGCCGUGCAGCAUCUGUCGCGGCAGCUUCCCGCGCCGUUCCGCGCGCGGCGCCGGAAGUGGGAAGGAGGCGCCGCGACGCCGACGCCCGCGGCGGCGGUGGACGAGGGGGAAGCGGGGCUCGCCGCAGAAAGGGCUGCCGAGGGUGGGGUAGCCUUGGAGGGUGUCGGGGAAGGAGGCUCUGGUCGGGUCGGUCUCCGAUUCAAAACUACCUUAUAUAGGGGCUUGCCUAUUGUAGAAUAUUCACAUGAUACUAGUAUAUAA
rnacentral:rRNA from 1 species